AGGUGAGAAAACUGUUAUCCAAAUAAGAAAGCUGUUUGCCUAGAUGAGAAAAUUGGUUGCUUGGUUAAACUGGUUUAUACAAAUAUUCUAAAGCAAACAGUGAAGGCAAGUAAGGACCCUCAGAAGUACCUACUGAAGCAGAAGUUCUGGGUUGUUCUUUUUGCCAGUCACUGGACAGAGAUGCUGUGACCCCAAGAGGGGGGAAGAAAGAAAUGUUUCUUUCCUACAAGCCCAUAGCCCCAACCCACAGUGACAGAAGCCCCCCAAGAGAUUGUGACCUCUGCACUGGAAUACACUUGCAAGAGUAACAGCAGUGGUGGCAGCAUCUGGAUCCUUGACUGGCAGCAUUAUGGAAAGUUACUGGCCAGAUACUCCUUACUUAAGUUGGCACCAAUCGACUUGCCUGGGGAUCAGUCAAAUGGCGUGAGGCGAGGAGGACUUCAGGAGAUCCUUCCCAGAUGGAUGCCAAACUCCUUUGAUAGCCCUGUCAUUGUCAAGAAUUUCUUCAAGUUUAUGUGUAUAAGAAUAAAAUCUUGUUCAAGUUUA